rnacentral:rRNA from 1 species
UACGUAGGGUGCAAGCGUUGUCCGGAAUUAUUGGGCGUAAAGGGCUCGUAGGCGGUCUGUCACGUCGGGAGUGAAAACUCAGGGCUUAACCCUGAGCCUGCUUCCGAUACGGGCAGACUAGAGGUAUGCAGGGGGAGAACGGAAUUCCUGGUGUAGCGGUGAAAUGCGCAGAUAUCAGGAGGAACACCGGUGGCGAAGGCGGUUCUCUGGGCAUUACCUGACGCUGAGGAGCGAAAGUGUGGGGAGCAAACAGG